rnacentral:rRNA from 1 species
UAGCCUUGACAUUGAUUGAACGGACCAGAGAUGGACCGGUGCCCUUCGGGGAACAUGAAAACAGGUGCUGCACGGCUGUCGUCAGCUCGUGUCGUGAGAUGUUGGGUUAAGUCCCGCAACGAGCGCAACCCUCGUCUUUAGUUGCCAGCAGGUUAAGCUGGGCACUCUAAAGAGACUGCCUUCGCAAGGAGGAGGAAGGUGAGGACGACGUCAAGUCAUCAUGGCCCUUACGGCUAGGGCUACACACGUGCUACAAUGGGGCGUACAGAGUGUUGCGAUACCGCGAGGUGGAGCCAAUCACUUAAAGCGUCUCUCAGUUCGGAUUGGAGUCUGCAACUCGACUCCAUGAAGCUGGAAUCACUAGUAAUCGUAGAUCAGCAAUGCUACGGUGAAUACGUUCCCGGGUCU